AGAACGAACGCUGGCGGCGUGGAUAAGACAUGCAAGUCGAACGCGAUUUACAGCGAUAGCAAUAUCAUUGUAAGUUGAGUGGCGAAAGGGUGCGUAACACGUGGGAAUUUACCAAGAAGUGGGGAAUAGCUCGACGAAAGUCGAAUUAAUACCGCAUAUGAUCGCAAGAUCAAAGUCGGGGACCGCAAGGCCUGACGCUUUUUGAGAAGCCCGCGGCCCAUCAGCUAGUUGGCGGGGUAAAAGCCCACCAAGGCUAUGACGGGUAGCUGGUCUGAGAGGACGACCAGCCACACUGGAACUGAGACACGGUCCAGACACCUACGGGUGGCAGCAGUCGAGAAUUUUUCACAAUGG
rnacentral:rRNA from 1 species